rnacentral:rRNA from 1 species
UACGGAGGGGGCGAGCGUUAUUCGGAAUUAUUGGGCGUAAAGGGCGCGUAGGCGGCUUGACAAGUCAAAGGUGAAAUCCCUCGGCUCAACUGAGGAACUGCCUUUGAAACUGUCUGGCUUGAGUCCGGGAGGGGGUAGCGGAAUUCCCAGUGUAGCGGUGAAAUGCGUAGAUAUUGGGAGGAACACCGGUGGCGAAGGCGGCUCUCUGGACCGGUACUGACGCUGAGGCGCGAAAGCUAGGGGAGCAAACGGG